rnacentral:lncRNA from 1 species
CUGGUCGCGCAUUGAAAGUAGCUCGUCUUGUUGUUCACCUUCCUAAUUUCCGGAUUUCCCUAUGGUCUCCGCGGUAAACGUCACAACGCUUUGAACUGUGGGUAAUUCUCUUAGGUAAAGUCUGCACUGAUGCAGACUCACGGUAAGUGUGGACUCAAACCCUCAUGCCCUUUGGAUUCGACAUUGGGACAGCCUUAAAGCCUUAAUAAUUUCGCGAGAACGCGUAUGAAAGUCCGGACAUUUGGAUUGGGCGCAUCUCUCUCCCGAGUCAUACCUAGCCUGAAACGACGAUGCCACAAAGGAUCAAAUUCGUUUUUCAUCAACUCCAAAGAACUUUACGGAGGGGAAGACUGAACAGCAAUGACAGAAAUUUGUGAAACUCGGCCCACAUUUGUUGCUCAGUGUAUGAUCCGACAACGCUCCAACGCAGCCCCAGCCGGCAGGUCUUUGAUGGUCUCAGACGGAAUCCAACUCAAACUGUGAUCCGAUCAGCCAGAAGGCCCACCUCCCACGGUGGUGGUGAUCCCGUUGUCAUUUCCGAGGGAUGCCGGACUGUUCAAUAUGGAAAGCUGGAGUGAGAGGCGUGCUUGGGAGAAUUUAAAGGGGAGCGCUGGGCUAGCUGAGACAGGAGGAGGCAGUGCAGGUGGAGUCCCAGACAGACGGAUGUUGAUGGCCUGGGGGAGGUGGUGGUGAGGGGGUACGACAGACAGGGAAGAAAGAGGAUGCCGAGCGCUUUCCCGCGACUCGCCUCCGAUCCUGCCUGUUCUCUGAUCCCUGCCUUUCUGACCAUCCUGCCUGCCGCCCAGCCCCUGUCGGCCUGUCUGCUCCUCUGCCCCCGACUCCUGAUCCUCCAGCCUGCCUCCCCUGCUUUCGACCCUUCGCCUGCCUGACCUCCCGAUCACCGUAGAGUUAUUGUUGGUCUGUCUGUUCACCUGUUCCCUACUGCCCAUCUGCCCUCCCGUUGCCGACCUCUGCCUGCUGACUACUCUUUGCCUGCCGAUCCUGUAUCUGAAUAAACUCUUGAAACCGUUCUACGCUCGUCGUCAGUCUGUGCACUUGGGUUCUGCCAAACGCCCACGUUACACACAGUUUACAUGGCUGAAGUGGGUCUGCUCUGGGUCAAUAGGGCUCUGAGAUUCAGGAGA